rnacentral:rRNA from 1 species
GGGUUGUGAGGUUAAGCGACUAAGCGUACACGGUGGAUGCCCUGGCAGUCAGAGGCGAUGAAGGACGUGCUAAUCUGCGAAAAGCGUCGGUAAGGUGAUAUGAACCGUUACAGCCGGCGAUGUCCGAAUGGGGAAACCCAGUGUGAUUCGUCACACUAUCGUUAACUGAAUACAUAGGUUAACGAGGCGAACCGGGGGAACUGAAACAUCUAAGUACCCCGAGGAAAAGAAAUCAACCGAGAUUCCCCCAGUAGCGGCGAGCGAACGGGGAGCAGCCCAGAGUCUGAAUCAGCUUGUGUGUUAGUGGAACGGUCUGGAAAGUCCGACGGUACAGGGUGAUAGUCCCGUACACCAAAAUGCACAGGCUGUGAACUCGAAGAGUAGGGCGGGACACGUGGUAUCCUGUCUGAAUAUGGGGGGACCAUCCUCCAAGGCUAAAUACUCCUGACUGACCGAUAGUGAACCAGUACCGUGAGGGAAAGGCGAAAAGAACCCCGGCGAGGGGAGUGAAAAAGAACCUGAAACCGUGUACGUACAAGCAGUGGGAGCACCUUCGGGUGUGACUGCGUACCUUUUGUAUAAUGGGUCAGCGACUUAUAUUCUGUAGCAAGGUUAACCGUAUAGGGGAGCCGCAGGGAAACCGAGUCUUAACUGGGCGUUAAGUUGCAGGGUAUAGACCCGAAACCCGGUGAUCUAGCCAUGGGCAGGUUGAAGGUUGGGUAACACUAACUGGAGGACCGAACCGACUAAUGUUGAAAAAUUAGCGGAUGACUUGUGGCUGGGGGUGAAAGGCCAAUCAAACCGGGAGAUAGCUGGUUCUCCCCGAAAGCUAUUUAGGUAGCGCCUCGUGAACUCAUCUUCGGGGGUAGAGCACUGUUUCGGCUAGGGGUCAUCCCGACUUACCAACCCGAUGCAAACUACGAAUACCGAAGAAUGUUAUCACGGGAGACACACGGCGGGUGCUAACGUCCGUCGUGAAGAGGGAAACAACCCAGACCGCCAGCUAAGGUCCCAAAGUCAUGGUUAAGUGGGAAACGAUGUGGGAAGGCACAGACAGCCAGGAUGUUGGCUUAGAAGCAGCCAUCAUUUAAAGAAAGCGUAAUAGCUCACUGGUCGAGUCGGCCUGCGCGGAAGAUGUAACGGGGCUAAACCAUGCACCGAAGCUGCGGCAGCGACACUAUGUGUUGUUGGGUAGGGGAGCGUUCUGUAAGCCUGCGAAGGUGUGCUGUGAGGCAUGCUGGAGGUAUCAGAAGUGCGAAUGCUGACAUAAGUAACGAUAAAGCGGGUGAAAAGCCCGCUCGCCGGAAGACCAAGGGUUCCUGUCCAACGUUAAUCGGGGCAGGGUGAGUCGACCCCUAAGGCGAGGCCGAAAGGCGUAGUCGAUGGGAAACAGGUUAAUAUUCCUGUACUUGGUGUUACUGCGAAGGGGGGACGGAGAAGGCUAUGUUAGCCGGGCGACGGUUGUCCCGGUUUAAGCAUGUAGGCUGGUUAUCCAGGCAAAUCCGGAUAAUCAAGGCUGAGGUGUGAUGACGAGGCACUACGGUGCUGAAGUAACAAAUGCCCUGCUUCCAGGAAAAGCCUCUAAGCAUCAGGUAACAUCAAAUCGUACCCCAAACCGACACAGGUGGUCAGGUAGAGAAUACCAAGGCGCUUGAGAGAACUCGGGUGAAGGAACUAGGCAAAAUGGUGCCGUAACUUCGGGAGAAGGCACGCUGGUGUGUAGGUGAAGCCCCUGCGGGUGGAGCUGAGACCAGUCGAAGAUACCAGCUGGCUGCAACUGUUUAUUAAAAACACAGCACUGUGCAAACACGAAAGUGGACGUAUACGGUGUGACGCCUGCCCGGUGCCGGAAGGUUAAUUGAUGGGGUUAUCCGUAAGGAGAAGCUCUUGAUCGAAGCCCCGGUAAACGGCGGCCGUAACUAUAACGGUCCUAAGGUAGCGAAAUUCCUUGUCGGGUAAGUUCCGACCUGCACGAAUGGCGUAAUGAUGGCCAGGCUGUCUCCACCCGAGACUCAGUGAAAUUGAACUCGCUGUGAAGAUGCAGUGUACCCGCGGCAAGACGGAAAGACCCCGUGAACCUUUACUAUAGCUUGACACUGAACAUUGAGCCUUGAUGUGUAGGAUAGGUGGGAGGCUUUGAAGCGUGGACGCCAGUCUGCGUGGAGCCAACCUUGAAAUACCACCCUUUAAUGUUUGAUGUUCUAACGUUGGCCCCUUACCGGGGUUGCGGACAGUGUCUGGUGGGUAGUUUGACUGGGGCGGUCUCCUCCCAAAGCGUAACGGAGGAGCACGAAGGUUAGCUAAUCCUGGUCGGACAUCAGGAGGUUAGUGCAAUGGCAUAAGCUAGCUUGACUGCGAGCGUGACGGCGCGAGCAGGUGCGAAAGCAGGUCAUAGUGAUCCGGUGGUUCUGAAUGGAAGGGCCAUCGCUCAACGGAUAAAAGGUACUCCGGGGAUAACAGGCUGAUACCGCCCAAGAGUUCAUAUCGACGGCGGUGUUUGGCACCUCGAUGUCGGCUCAUCACAUCCUGGGGCUGAAGUAGGUCCCAAGGGUAUGGCUGUUCGCCAUUUAAAGUGGUACGCGAGCUGGGUUUAGAACGUCGUGAGACAGUUCGGUCCCUAUCUGCCGUGGGCGCUGGAGAAUUGAGGGGGGCUGCUCCUAGUACGAGAGGACCGGAGUGGACGCAUCACUGGUGUUCGGGUUGUCAUGCCAAUGGCACUGCCCGGUAGCUAAAUGCGGAAGAGAUAAGUGCUGAAAGCAUCUAAGCACGAAACUUGCCCCGAGAUGAGUUCUCCCUGAGACUUUAAGUCUCCUGAAGGAACGUUGAAGACGACGACGUUGAUAGGCCGGGUGUGUAAGCGCAGCGAUGCGUUGAGCUAACCGGUACUAAUGAACCGUGAGGCUUAACCUUACAACGCCGAAG